GUGCCUUCUACCUCAUUGCUGCCAUAUGUGCCUUCACAAGUCCAUUCGUCACCCUGUCCCCACUGCCUCAUAUAGCUUGUAAGGACCCAUCUUAUCUUGCCACCAGCUUGUGCUUCCUCAUCAGCAUUCACCCUAGCUUGAGUUCUCUUCCCAUUGCCACCUCCUUGCAUUCCCUCACAAGUUCAUACACCACUCCACCGCUGCCAUGGAAACAGCACUGGGCGGAAGUCCACUUCCCAGGGGCCCCCAGGUGCUUUCCCAAUGUCCCUGUUGUGAAUUCUCAGCCCCAUGGGCUCUGCUUCCUGUAGAAGAGGCCCUCCCAGCACUAGGGAUGUGCACAAACCUGUCCGGAGGCCCUUUUACGGCUUUCUGUGGACCUCUGAUCAGGUUCGAAAGACCGACGGUUUGACUAGUUCAAAGGUGGGGGGGAUACCUUUAAGGGCAGGGGGAGAGUGCUCUUACCCCUCCCACCGCAUUCUCCCCACAGGCACUGCAGGAUCCGGGGGGGGCGGGCAGCAGCGCACCUCCCUGCCGCCCUGUUGCCUCGUUGAACUGGUGGAGUUUUCUCCACCAUAGAAGCUCUCUCUGUAGUUGGAGGAUAAAUUUGAUUCUGUUGAAAAACUGUUGAUUGUGAUCAAUAUUCUUUGGAGGGUACUGUAGUAUCUUGUUUGACAGAAGUUACUACCCAUCCCACUCCAGACUAUUAGCAUUACAAGCCUCAAUAACUGGGCUGGGCACAGAACUGAUCUUCACAGAAUACCACCCGCACUUAAGUACCAUGAGUCUCUCUUUCUUUUCUUUUUUGGACAACACAUAGUUAUCAAAGGAUAUUUUAAGUCUGCACACUUGGCAACACUCCAUUCAGCCCAAAAGAGCAAUCAGGAUCCAAAUGGUGGAAUUUUCAAACUGCUGUUUUGACUGAACUUCUAUAAAUUACCUACCAAAUAAUAUAAUCAUGUGAGCUCAAACCACAAUGUAGAACUUCUUGAUGUUGAACACCAAAACUCUGUAAAACUUUCAACUAAGAUAAAGUCCCCCUCCCCACAUCCGCCUGAAAAGACACAUCUAAAUGAAAUUAGUGGAUUCAGUAAUAGUGACAGUGUGAUCCCACCUCACGAUUAUUCAGCAGUGAAUAAGGACACAAAAAGAUUAUCUUCCCAGAGCUUUCCCAUAAACCUCACAGUUCUCCUGCUUGAUUCAGUUCCCUUCAGGAUGGUGGUAUCAGCAAAACAGUGAAGGACAUGCAGGCCUUGAGCAGCAGCCAUCCCCACACACCUUUCUGGGGCCUGUUCUCUGUCGGCAGAUGAGCUCUGAGGAGCUGAAAUGAGCUCUUCUAGUCUUCUCCUUUCAAUAAAGUUGUGGCAUGUUUUA